AACGAACGCUGGCGGCAGGCUUAACACAUGCAAGUCGAACGCAUCCUUCGGGGUGAGUGGCAGACGGGUGAGUAACGCGUGGGAACGUGCCCUUCAGUUCGGGAUAACCCAGGGAAACUUGGGCUAAUACCGGAUACGUGCGAGAGCAGAAAGAUUUAUCGCUGAAGGAUCGGCCCGCGUCUGAUUAGCUAGUUGGUGGGGUAAUGGCCCACCAAGGCGACGAUCAGUAGCUGGUCUGAGAGGAUGAUCAGCCACAUUGGGACUGAGACACGGCCCAAACUCCUACGGGAGGCAGCAGUGGGGAAUAUUGGACAGUGGGCGCAAGCUUGAUCCAGCCAGGCCGCGUGAGUGAUGAAGGCCUUAGGGUUGUAAAGCUCUUUCGUCCGGGACGAUAAUGACGGUACCGGAAGAAGAAGCCCCGGCUAACUUCGUGCCAGCCGCCGCAGUAA
rnacentral:rRNA from 1 species